AACGCUGGCGGGCAUGCCUAAUACAUGCAAGUCGAACGAGAUCUUCGGAUCUAGUGGCGCACGGGUGCGUAACGCGUGGGAAUCUGCCCUUGGGUUCGGAAUAACGUCGGGAAACUGACGCUAAUACCGGAUGAUGACGUAAGUCCAAAGAUUUAUCGCCCAGGGAUGAGCCCGCGUAGGAUUAGCUAGUUGGUGGGGUAAAGGCCUACCAAGGCGACGAUCCUUAGCUGGUCUGAGAGGAUGAUCAGCCACACUGGGACUGAGACACGGCCCAGACUCCUACGGGAGGCAGCAGUAGGGAAUAUUGGACAAUGGGGGCAACCCUGAUCCAGCAAUGCCGCGUGAGUGAUGAAGGCCUUAGGGUUGUAAAGCUCUUUUACCAGAGAUGAUAAUGACAGUAU
rnacentral:rRNA from 1 species